ensembl:ncRNA B0457.10 ncRNA
CACGAGAUCGUUAAAAUCUUGGCUAACCGCGUUUCCUGCUCUGGCGGCCUCCAUGGCUCCACUCGAAAGCUCACCUUGUUUGCAUCCGGAAAAUUGUCGUAAAACAUGGCUUCGCUCCCAUUCUCUUUUGCCAUGUUCAAG